UACGGGGGGGGCAAGCGUUGUUCGGAAUUACUGGGCGUAAGGGCUCGUAGGCGGCCAACUAAGUCAGACGUGAAAUCCCCAGGCUUAACCUGGGAACUGCGUCUGAUACUGGAUGGCUUGAAUUCGGGAGAGGGAUGCAGAAUUCCAGGUGUAGCGGUGAAAUGCGUAGAUAUCUGGAGGAAUACCGGUGGCGAAGGCGGCAUCCUGGACCGACAUUGACGCUGAGGAGCGAAAGCUAGGGGAGCAAACGGG
rnacentral:rRNA from 1 species